rnacentral:rRNA from 2 species
GACGUAGGGUGCAAGCGUUGUCCGGAUUUACUGGGCGUAAAGAGCGCGUAGGCGGCUCGUUAAGUGAGAAGUGAAAGCUCUGGGCUCAACCCAGAAACCGCUUUUCAUACUGGCGAGCUGGAGUGAUGCAGAGGUGGAUAGAAUUCCCGGUGUAGCGGUGAAAUGCGUUGAUAUCGGGAGGAAUACCCAUGGCGAAGGCAGUCCACUGGGCAUCAACUGACGCUGAGGCGCGAAAGCGUGGGUAGCAAACAGG